rnacentral:rRNA from 1 species
UACGGAGGGGGCAAGCGUUGUUCGGAAUUACUGGGCGUAAAGGGCGCGCAGGCGGCUGCUCAAGUCAGGCGUGAAAGGCCUGGGCUCAACCCGGGAACUGCGUCCGAUACUGGCAGGCUUGAAUCCGGGAGAGGGAUGUGGAAUUCCAGGUGUAGCGGUGAAAUGCGUAGAUAUCUGGAGGAACACCGGUGGCGAAGGCGGCAUCCUGGACCGGUAUUGACGCUGAUGCGCGAAAGCCAGGGGAGCAAACGGG